rnacentral:lncRNA from 1 species
UGCUAAGGUCUUACCCAGGGCCCAAGAUUCCUAGACCAGCAAGAUUUGGGGAAGGUACUAACUUUAAUUACCUGCACUAAUUUAAUUAUAUCUUACAAUUUGUUCAAUAAAAUAUGCAGGGCAUAAUUUGUUCAGGACUCGCUUAUUAUGUUCAAGGAAUUGCAAUGAAAGACAGAGGACCUGUUUUUGUAACGGCUUUCAAUCCACUGGGCAUGAUCCUUGUCGCCGUCUUAGGAUCCUUCAUCUUAGCAGAACAAAUACACCUGGGAGGGUAGAUACCAGACUCACUUUUCAAUCAUAUAUAGACACAAACCUCCAAAAAAAAGGAGUCUUGAGCUUAAAUUAAAUUAAGAAGAGCUUAAAUAAUAUUUAUACCUUUGUCUGCAGGGUCAUCGGAGCCUUUGUGAUAGCUGUAGGAGUUUACCUUGUUGUGUGGGGUAAGAGCAAAGAUUACAAGCCCCGGGAC